GAGAGGAGCGAGUGGGGGAAACCCGCGUAGCCGAGGGAGCUGCAGCGCGGGGAGAUGCCUUAUUGGGACAAGCAGGCAGAAGUCAAGGUCAAAGCCUGUCCAAGGUGAAGAAUCUAAUAGGAGAUGGGAUCCCACCAAACUACAAGCUCAGGGGACAUGGGUUCAAGCCCUGAUCCGGGAAGAUCCCACAUGCCGCGGAGCAACUAAGCCUGUGCCAGCUACUGAGCCUGUGCUCUAGAGCCUGCGAGCCACAAUUACUGAGCCCGCACGCCACAACUACUGAAGCCUGCGCGCCUAGAGCCUGUGCUCUGCGACGAGAGAAGCCACCGCAAUGAGAAGCCCGCGCACCGCAACGAAGAGUAGCCCUCGCUUGCUGCAACCAGAGAAAGCCUGCACGCAGCGACGAAGACCCAACGCAGCCAAAAAUAAAAUAAAUCAAAUAAACAAGUUUUAAAAAAGAUUUAUUGAACUAAAGCUAGGUCUGAAGUAGCAGAGAGACCAAAAAAAGAAAGAAAAUAGGAAGGAAGGUUAUGGAGGAUAGAGUGAGGAAGUCUGACACAUUUAACUGGCGUUCUAGAGUCAGAAGAGAGAAUGGUGCAAUGAUAAUAUUUAAGGACACGAUGAUUGCAAAUUCCAGACUGGUAAAAAGACCGGUAUGCCCAGUGAGUCAUAGGCAGGAUAAAUAAAAAGAAAUGAAUACCUAGACACAUGCAGUGAAAGUGUCCAGCUGUGAUCUUCAGCAAUUGAUUUCUCUGAAGCUCAGUUUCUUAAUCUGAAAAAUGAGAAUACUGACAUUUCCUCAGAAGACUGACAUGUGAGCUGUUGCAUCUAGAAUGUUCAACAGUUGUGCUUACCAAAGACACCUCGUGGCCUCUUCACAGUGUGAAGCUGGGGGAGCCUAAGUUUGGGGGACAGAUGGGAGCUGGGGGAAACAUCACCUUGCCAAGCAUCAGCAGCCUCAUCUGAAAAAUGGGGCUCAUGAUCCUUACCCUGGAUUCAAGUGGAAAAUGUGCCCAGGUCCCUUGACCAGAACCUGGCAUGUAGCACACUCAGCAAGAUGACCUGCAGGGAGGCAAGGGGCCAAGGACGUCACUGAACACACUGCUUCCCCUAACAUGGAGGUGAUGGUUUCACCUACUUCUGGGAUGGCUGUGAGGCUAAGGGGACCUGCUGCACUUUUAAGUGCUUGGCACCAUGCCUGCCACACAAGAAAUGAACAAACAGGAACUAACUUUGUGAUUUGAGACCCUCCUGCCACCCUGGCUGUUGAUAUCUGUCAGUUUCCUUUCUGAACUCAACUUCUGCCAAUUCCACCUCUAAGAGGCCAUUAGUCCCCACCCCCCAAACCUCACUCUGACUUGCAGCCAAUUAAAAGCCUCCGGGGGAGCUACUUUUGACCAACAAUCUGUUGGUCCAGCACAGGUGAUUUUUGGAAGGGAGGUAGGACAUGGGGAUAGGAGCACAGCUGUGGGUGAGAAUCUGGGCUCUGUUCAUAACUGGUUCGUAAUUCUCAGCCCUGGCCACCUCGUUUGCAAAAUGAGAACCGAAAUUGUCCCUCAGCCCGUGAGUUCUCUCGAGUCCUCGCCAGCCUUGAGUUGGCUUGCAAGGCUGAUGUUCACCUUCACUCUUUAACCCUGCAUCCUGGCCUGGCACCCCUGUGGCCUACCAGGUCUCCAUCGGAGUCACGAAAUCAGCAGGUACAGAGCCCAACACGGGACUUCCUGUCUAGGUGCCCUUUAGGUUUGCCAAGGAGCUGUGAAUGAACCAAACUUGUAUCCUUAAGGACAGCAUGUCCCAAAGUUUGCUGAUCAUGAGACUUCCUCAGGUGCUUGUUACAGAGUCCCAGCCCCUCCCUGAAGUUCUGAUUCAGUAGGUGGGACCUGGGAGUCUGCAUUUUAUUUAUUUAUUUUGCCUCACUGCGCGGCUUGUGGGAUCUUAGUUCCCUGACCAGGGGUUGAACCCGGGCCCCGGCAGUGAGAGUGCCGAGGCCUAACCACUGGACUGCCAGGGAAUUCCCCGCAUUUUUAAGUAAGCACCCCAGUUGAGUCUGAAAAUUAGGGCUGGGAAAUAAUUUCUUGGGCCAUCACUAGAGUUUGCAGUUACACACACCAUCUCCCACUCCUGUUAUGGCCCACAGCCAAAAGGGAAAGGAUGGUUUGGUGUAACUAGUUUACAGUGAGUCUAGAUCUGUCUGACCCAUUUCUACCAUAAGUACACUCAAACUAUCAAAACCCAGUGUUUCCCAAAGUAUCUUCUCAGGUACCAUAGUUCUGUGAGGUGCUUCCCAAUAAAGGGGUUCCGUGGUGAAAUACUUCGGGGAAAUAUUGCAUUCUGUUUCUUGAAAAUUCACAUUGCGCAAAUGAAGAAACUCAUUUAAUGUUGUCUCACCCCACUUUGGUCCCCCUUUUCAUGCAACACCUAUGUAUGCUGGUUCUACAGGAUAUAUUUUGCAGAAACACUGGUUUAUUGGCCAUUGGAUCUGGCAGAAUCUGGAGUUCCCAAGUAUUGCCUUCCAUCUCCUCUGUUCCCUGCUUACGAGCACAUCUGUGGGCCCCACAUGGCACAUCCAUGUGGGAGUAGGGUUUGGGCUGAUGCGGUAGCAAGGCUGCCAUUCUGGAGAAUGAACUGCCACAAAAAACAUAAGCCACAGAGAAUUCAUUUGGUCAGGCGUAUUGCUGGUCCAGAUGCCAUUUGCUGACUAAAAUGGAGAACGGCAUUUGGCCCCUGCAGACCUGCAGCCCAAGUGUUUCCCUCAGGGCAGCGGCCAAGCUCUUAUCCCUUUGGCUCUCACACCACAGUGGUCUGUCUCUUCCAUGCCUUUGAAGAGUGGCAGCUUGAGAUAAAGAAAGAGGGUCUUCCAGUCAGAGCACAAGCAGAGCCAAAGGUGUUAAAAAAGGACAAGCCAGCAUCACCGCAAGCAGGCCUGGCCUGAGCUCCUCGGCUCCAGGUGCCCUCGUCACGUCUGCUGCUGGGUGCUUCUCCCUCAGAGUCUGCCAGGCAGGCUAGAGCCCCAGGUAUUCAGCCAGGAACACGGCCAGGAUGCGGCUCAGGUUGUGUACCGUGGGUGGGUGCAGGUUGGCCUCAGAGUCAUCGGACGUGUGCCAGACAGAGGGGAAGGGUGUGGAGAUGAGGUGGAGCACAGGGACCCCUGCAGGACAGAGAGGAGCCUCAGGCUUGUGCGUGGCCCCCAACUGACCCAGGAGCCCAGGCCCCCGUCUGGGAAGCCUUGCCUUGUCCCGCCCCCAGCAGAAGAUACUCUGUUGUGGCACUUGAAGAAUUCUGAACAAGGAUUUUCAGCAUGUGAGGGUGCAUGUUUGUUUUAAAAAUACAUCCAGUAUAUUAUUUUCAUAACGCAAAUUAGAAAAACUCAAAAGUUAACGGAUUAUGGAAAGACAGGAGAAGGGAACGAGGUCUUUGACCUUCCUUGCCGGGUAUACAUUAUUAGGCUCUUUUUCUCUUCUUUACUGAUAGUUAACGUUUAUGUUCUAUUCCAGGCCCGAGUCUAAGGCCAUAAACACACACAAUUUUAUCCUUACAAUAAUCCUGGAAGGUGUACUAUAAUACCCGUUUUACAGAUGUGGACACUGAGGCACAGAGGCAGGCUGAGUGAUGUGCCUAAGGUCUCGCCUCUAGUAAAGAGCACAGUCAGAAUUUGAAUCCAGGCCACGUGUCUCCAGAGUGUGUGCUCCUAACCCUUGCACUGCACUGGGUUCCUGUCCUCAGAGUGUUUCACUCUUUGUUUGUCCAGAUUUGGUAAGUAUCUGUCCCCCUGCUAGACAGGAGCCAGGUGGAUUAUGGCCCGUCACUGUAUCCCUGACAGCUAGCUCAGUACCUGCCUUGGGAAGUAUUCAGUGAAUGAAUCAAUAAAGGCAUUGUAAGAAACGCAUAUUUGUUGAAUGAGUAAAUUAUAGAAUAAAAAUUUAAAAAGCAGUUUUUAGCACUUACUGUAUAUGCCAAGCACCGUGUAAGAAGGCAUUUUAUAUAUCUAAUCUCAUCUAAU